rnacentral:rRNA from 2 species
GCAUAUCAAUAAGCGGAGGAAAAGAAACCAACCGGGAUUGCCUCAGUAACGGCGAGUGAAGCGGCAAAAGCUCAAAUUUGGAAUCUGGCGCCCUCGGCGUCCGAGUUGUAAUUUGAAGACUCUAUCUUGGGAGGCGGCGCUGUCGAAGUUCCUUGGAACAGGACGUCACAGAGGGUGAGAAUCCCGUGCGAUGGCAGCCGCGGACCAUGUAAGUUAGUGUCGACGAGUCGAGUUGUUUGGGAAUGCAGCUCUAAGUGGGUGGUAAACUCCAUCUAAAGCUAAAUAUUGGCGAGAGACCGAUAGCGAACAAGUACAGUGAUGGAAAGAUGAAAAGAACUUUGAAAAGAGAGUGAAAAAGUACGUGAAAUUGUUGAAAGGGAAGGGCUUGAGAUCAGACAUGCCUUCGGGCAGGCCAGCAUCAGCUGGAAGGGGCAGACAAGGGCGCCGCAAUGUGGCCUGGCUUCGGCGAGGUGUUAU